AGUGAAUAGAUACCCGGGUAGUCCACGCUGUAAACGAUGAGUGCUGGACGUUGGCGGGUUUACCUGCCGGUGUCGCAGCUAAACGCGUUAAGCACUCCGCCUGGGGAGUACGGCCGCAAGGUUAAAACUCAAAGGAAUUGACGGGGCCCGCACAAGCGGUGGAGCAUGUGGUUUAAUUCGACGCAACGCGCAGAACCUUACCAGCCCUUGACAUGGGCGGACGGGGUCCAGAGAUGGACUCUUUCUCGCAAGAGACCGCUACACAGGUGCUGCAUGGCUGUCGUCAGCUCGUGUCGUGAGAUGUUGGGUUAAGUCCCGCAACGUAGCGCAACCCUCGUCUCCAGUUGCCAUCGGGUAGAGCCGGGCACUUUGGAG
rnacentral:rRNA from 1 species